rnacentral:piRNA from 1 species
CACGUACAGGACCUAGAAGGCGG